rnacentral:lncRNA from 1 species
CAUGCUCAGAUGGAAGGAGAGAUGAUGAGCACCCCCAUAAUACACUGGUGAUUUUUCUACUGUUGUCUCCUCAGUGAAGUUAUUUGCACUCAGGAAAUUAGAGAAAUCAUGAUAACCAAGGCAUCUUGCUAUACUUGGAUGAAGUCUGGAUUGAGGGCUUACGUUGCAGUACUUCCCUGGAGAAAAGCUGUAGCAGCAAUGGAAGAGGAGUGUGGCUACAAGAUGUGUGGAGAGCAGAAUGCUGCAAGGAAUGAAGAAAAUAAGAAUUGGAGUAAAUGGAGUGAAGGCUGUAUGGGCUGGUCACUAGUGUUCACUGAAGGGAAUGUUAUGGGAUCUCCUGUGAGCUCUAAUCAAACCUAUUGAGCUGACAGAGGCUGGUCCAGCAUGGAGAUGCAGAGGAGGGCUCUCCAGAGGAGGGCUCACCCUGAGCCUCUGCAGCAGUGAUGAUUGCAUUGCUGGUGCUGGGAACCCAGGAAUGCUCACACCAGGCACAGGAAAACAGGUAUUGAUAGAUUUACACUGCCACCCCUUCUCCUUCAGGCCACUACAGAGGCCCAGGAGGCCCAGACCUGCAGAGAGAUGGAAGCCAAACCGAGCUGCUCUGCAUCACCUCCACUGGUGAUGGUGACUGGAGCAGGGUUUCAGUAUUUUGCCUUUGAGAAUAGCAGGCUGUGUCAUUUUAACUUCCAAAGAAGUGAGCUCUGAGUGUCUGGAAUUAUUCCAAAUACAGGAAAAAUUGCAGUGGUACAAAGAUACCUCAGCAGACACUGACACCUGAUCCAUGCUGUGCCUUGUGGUGUUUGGAGACCUUUCUGCAACCUGGAGGGUGUCACACACAGCUCCUUUGGGCACGGGGAGAAGCCACAGCCUUGGCAGAAGCAGAAGAGUGAGUUACCCACUGCCCCUUGCUUCUGCUCUGCUUUUGGCUCAGCUCUGCCAACAGCAUGUGGGAAAGUUAAAGGAGAAAUAUUUAUUUUAAUAUUCAGAUGUUCUCAUUCGCACUUACGUAUGCGUGUGUGUGGACACCACACAUAUGUAACAUGAAUGUGUUUGUUUAUCAGUGAGUUUCCUGGUUCUCCAACAGCUCUGUCUUCUUAUCUCCACAAAUAAAUAACAAUAUUAGACCUGAAUUCUAAAUAUA